CCUACACGACCGUACCGCAAACCGACACUGGUGCGCGAGAUGAGUAUUCUCAGGCGCUUGAGAGAACUCGGGAGAAGGAACUCGGCAAAUUGACACCGUAACUUCGGAAGAAGGUGUGCCUUUAGUAGGUGAAGUCCCUCGCGGAUGGAGCCCAAUGAGGUUGCAAAGAAUCGGUGGCUGCGACUGUUUAAUAAAAACACAGCACUCUGCAAACACGAAAGUGGACGUAUAGGGUGUGACGCCUGCCCGGUGCUGGAAGAUUAAGUGAUGGGGUGCAAGCUCUUGAUCGAAGUCCCAGUAAACGGCGGCCGUAACAAUAACGGUCCUAAGGUAGCGAAAUUCCUUGUCGGGUAAGUUCCGACCUGCACGAAUGGCGUAACGAUGGCCACACUGUCUCCUCCCGAGACUCAGCGAAGUUGAAAUGUUUGUGAUGAUGCAAUCUCCCCGCGGAAAGACGGAAUGACCCCAUGAACCUUUACUGUAGCUUUGUAUUGGACUUUGAACGGAUCUGUGUAGGAUAGGUGGGAGGCUUUGAAGCCGGGUCGCUAGAUCUGGUGGAGCCAACGUUGAAAUACCACCCUGGUGCGUUUGAGGUUCUAACCUAGGCCCGUUAUCCGGGCCGGGGACAGUGCAUGGUAGGCAGUUUGACUGGGGCGGUCUCCUCCCAAAGCGUAACGGAGGAGUUCGAAGGUACGCUAGUUACGGUCGGACAUCGUGACGAUAGUGCAAUGGCAUAAGCGUGCUUAACUGCGAGACUGACAAGUCGAGCAGAUGCGAAAGCAGGACAUAGUGAUCCGGUGGUUCUGUAUGGAAGGGCCAUCGCUCAACGGAUAAAAGGUACUCUGGGGAUAACAGGCUGAUACCGCCCAAGAGUUCAUAUCGACGGCGGUGUUUGGCACCUCGAUGUCGGCUCAUCUCAUCCUGGGGCUGUAGCCGGUCCCAAGGGUAUGGCUGUUCGCCAUUUAAAGAGGUACGUGAGCUGGGUUUAAAACGUCGUGAGACAGUUUGUCCCUAUCUUCCGUGGGCGCUGCAGAUUUGAGGAAGCCUGCUCCUAGUACGAGAGGACCGGAGUGGACGCACCUCUGGUGUACCUGUUGUCACGCCAGUGGCAUUGCAGGGUAGCUAAGUGCGGAAGAGAUAACCGCUGAAAGCAUCUAAGCGGGAAACUCGUUUCAAGAUGAGAUCUGCCGGGGCCUUGAGCCCCCUGAAGAGUCGUUCUAGACCAGGACGUUGAUAGGUCAGGUGUGGAAGCGCAGUAAUGCGUUAAGCUAACUGAUACUAAUUGCGCGUGCGGCUUGACCU
rnacentral:rRNA from 1 species